AAUAUUUUUCAAUGGAGGCAACUCUGAACCAGCCAUGCCGCGUGCAGGAUGACGUUCCUAUGGAUUGUCAACUGCUUUUGUACCGGAAGAAAACAUUCUCCGUGUAGUAAAUUGCCGGUACUGUAAGUAUAAGGAUCGGCUAACUCCGUGUCCGCAGCCGCGGUAAUACGGAGGAUCCACGCGUUAUCCGGAAUUAUUGGGUUUAAAGGGUCCGUAGGCGGCCGUAUAAGUCAGCGGUGAAAGUAUUUGGCUGAACCAAAAAAUAGCCGUUGAUAGUGUAGGGCUUGAAGUGUUGUGAAGUAGCGAGAAUAUGUAGUGUAGCGGUGAAAUGCUUAGAUAUUACAUGGAAGAACAAUUGCGAAGGAAGGUUACUAACAAACGAUUGACGCUGAUGGACGAAAGAGUGGGUAGCGAACA
rnacentral:rRNA from 1 species